ACAGUGGCACAAUGGAUUGGUGCAUCUGGCUGUUAAUCAGAAGGCCGGUGGUUCGAGCCCACUCAGGGAUG